rnacentral:rRNA from 1 species
GUGGGUAGUUUGACUGGGGCGGUCUCCUCCCAAAGAGUAACGGAGGAGCACGAAGGUUAGCUAAUCCUGGUCGGACAUCAGGAGGUUAGUGCAAUGGCAUAAGCUAGCUUGACUGCGAGCGUGACGGCGCGAGCAGGUGCGAAAGCAGGUCAUAGUGAUCCGGUGGUUCUGAAUGGAAGGGCCAUCGCUCAACGGAUAAAAGGUACUCCGGGGAUAACAGGCUGAUACCGCCCAAGAGUUCAUAUCGACGGCGGUGUUUGGCACCUCGAUGUCGGCUCAUCACAUCCUGGGGCUGAAGUAGGUCCCAAGGGUAUGGCUGUUCGCCAUUUAAAGUGGUACGCGAGCUGGGUUUAGAACGUCGUGAGACAGUUCGGUCCCUAUCUGCCGUGGGCGCUGGAGAAUUGAGGGGGGCUGCUCCUAGUACGAGAGGACCGGAGUGGACGCAUCACUGGUGUUCGGGUUGUCAUGCCAAUGGCACUGCCCGGUAGCUAAAUGCGGAAGAGAUAAGUGCUGAAAGCAUCUAAGCACGAAACUUGCCCCGAGAUGAGUUCUCCCUGAGACUUUAAGUCUCCUGAAGGAACGUUGAAGACGAC